rnacentral:rRNA from 1 species
GUGAGGAAUAUUGGUCAAUGGACGGAAGUCUGAACCAGCCAUGCCGCGUGCAGGAAUAAGGUCCUAUGGAUUGAAAACUGCUUUUAUUCGGGAAUAAACCUCUUGACGUGUAGGGAGCUGAAGGUACCGAAGGAAUAAGCACCGGCUAACUCCGUGCCAGCAGCCGCGGUAAUACGGAGGGUGCAAGCGUUAUCCGGAAUCAUUGGGUUUAAAGGGUCCGCAGGCGGGCUAUCAAGUCAGAGGUGAAAUCCCACAGCUUAACGGUGGAACUGCCUUUGAAACAGAUGGUCAUGAAUUGAGUGGGCGUUGGCGGAAUAUGACAUGUAGCGGUGAGAUGCAUAGAUAUGUCAUGGAACACCGAAAGCGAAGGCAGCUAACGAUACUUAUAUUGACGCUCAUGGACGAAAGCGUGGGUAGCGAACAGGAUUAGAUACCACUGUAGUCC